rnacentral:rRNA from 1 species
AUUGAACCCUGGCGGCAUCCCUUACACAUCCAAGUCGAACGGCAGCACGGGUGCUUGCCCCUGGUGGCGAUUGGCGAACGGGUGAGUAUUACAUCGGAACAUGUCCUGUAGUGGGGGAUAGCCCGGCGAAAGCCGGAUUAAUACCGCAUCCGAUCCACGGUUGAAAGCGGGGGACCUCCGGGCCUCCCCCUAUAGGGUUGGCCGAUGGCUGAUUAGCUAGUUGGUGGGGUAAAGGCCUACCAAGGCGACGAUCAGUAGCUGGUCUGAGAGGACGACCAGCCACACUGGGACUGAGACACGGCCCAGACUCCUACGGGAGGCAGCAGUGGGGAAUUUUGGACAAUGGGCGAAAGCCUGAUCCAGCAAUGCCGCGUGUGUGAAGAAGGCCUUCGGGUUGUAAAGCACUUUUGUCCGGAAAGAAAUCCUUGACUCUAAUACAGUCGGGGGAUGACGGUACCGGAAGAAUAAGCACCGGCUAACUACGU